UCCAAUUAGUCAAAGAAAUUUGGAUACAGGGAUGGCCAGCCUGUGCUAACAGGAUGACUUUGGUCCCAUUGCCUUAAUUAUAAACUAGGUGGAGCUGGCAGUGCUUCAUGAGGGUGCAAGAGAGAGAAAGUGAGAAUAUUUUUCUGACUAAAGAACAAAUCACUUAUUUAAGCCAUUAUUCCUUUCAAGUUCCAACCAUAAUUUAUUUAGUAGGCAUAAUUUCUAAAUACGAUUAGGCAAAUUAAUGGAAAUUUACCAGUCACAAUUGGCUGAUAUUACACAGUCAUGUGUUAUAAAGAGCAAACAAACAUAAGUUUCUGGAUCCUAAAGCAGAAGGCGCAUAGAGGAUAUCCUUAAUUUUUUAAGCCUUCAAUUUGAAAAGUAUUUUUUAUUUUGCCUCUGCUUUGUCUUACUUAUGCCUAAAAUCUUGAACAUUGCCAUAAGAACAUAAUUUUAAACAUUUUACUCAGUAAUAGUUAUAUGUUCUGUGCCUAUAUUGUUGAAGAUCCGAGGGGCUGAAUCACUGAGGUUUAUCAUAGCAAUUUGUGCUGCAAAUUCCACUUUCUGGACCUCAGUGCCUUGUCUUUUAAAACAAGAAAAGUAGAUAUGAAAAGCUGAGGUCCCUCUCUGCUCUAUGAAUCCCUAACUCUCACCCACUGAGUUUUUAUAUGUGAGCACCAAUGGGCAAGCAAAAUUCUGAAAGAAGUCUGGACGUGUACUGUAAAGGAGGGAUACGAAUGGGCUGGAUGAUGACCCACACUUCUAGACUAGUUUAUUUAAUUGCAAUUAACACAAUACAUGAACAAAGCUGCUGUGAGGCUUAGCAAAAACAUCAUUUGUCAAGCAUGGUGAUUAUACGAUCUUUCUCUAACCAUUUUGGCAGUAUAGUUUGUGGAAGAGCUUAUUUUCAAAAUUCUUCCAUCUCUAGGGCACUUUUUGCCCCCGGGAGGAAAAACACUUCUGUGUUUAAAAAUCUGGCUACUUUUCUUAGUCCAGAGUAGUGGUUCUCACCAGGAAGAUUCUCUCCCCAGGUGGCAUUACAGCAAUGUCUAGAGAUACUUUUGGUUGUCAUGAGUUGAGGGGAAGGAGGUCACUGGCAUCUGGUGGGUAGAGACCAGAGACGCUGCUAAACAUCUUAAAGUGCACAGGGUAGCCCCAAGAACAAAGAAUUAUCUGGCCCAAAAUGUCAACAGUGCAAAGACUGAGAUACCUUACUCUAGAGAAAGAAGCUUUAGAUUGAAGGUAGCUGGGCCAAGUCCAUGUUAAACAAAUAAGAAUAGGAGUUUUGGGGACAAUCUUUGUCUUUGGGGUCUCAUAGACACUCUUAAUAUCAUUUAGGGCCUAAUGACAUUGAUGUCAUGAUAAAAAAAAAAGCUAAUUUACAUGCAGGUGGAACUAAAUAAACUUUCUUAGAUUCUCUUUUCUGGACAUAUUUUAAAGUAAGUAUGACAGGUUGACAUUUCUUUAUAAUCAUUAUUGAACACUUGAAUAUGAUUGAACCUAUCAGAGCAAUACUACUGGAUUUAGUCUUAUUUCAACCCAAGUCCUUGCAGUCAACCACAGAUUUCAUUAUGGUCAGUACUAAGUUAAUACCCUCCUCCUAGCACAGUCUCAGUGCCAGCAACCAAAUUUUUUAUGCAGAACCUGAUGCAUCUUAGAUGAAAACAACUGUUACAGUCUUUAAAGAUGGAAUAUUAACUCUGUGGUCCAGCUUCCAGAGAAUACACCAGUGCAGCAGAUGAACUCAAGUAACUGAAUACUUGCCACUUUAAACUUCCACACUUUUUAGUUGUUUUCAUUGUAAGUUAUUCUAAAACGUACCUCACACAUCUUUGUCUUUUGCAACAGAUGAUAAUGAACUUAAUUUAAUCAUUUCUUAAUGGUUUUAGGAUGUCAUUGUUAUGGAUGUUAGCUGUCAACCUGUGCAAGUGUUUUAUGCAGGCAAACAAAAUCAGUGGUUCAAGUAGAGUGUUUACUUCAUUUGUUCUUGUGGCCUUAGUAGGCCAGCUGCUAAGUAAUGCUUACUAUUUCGAGUUCUCUUGUCUUCACAGUGACAAAAGAGGCAUAAGCAUUUCCUCAAGAAGCAGAAAAUAAUCAUGGACGUCUGACAUGCACUCUCCCAUUCAUUUCAUAUGCUGUGAAUUCUCUAAGUCUGAAAAAAUCAGAUUUUCACAUGAUUUUGGUAUUAUAUAACAUUAAGUGCUAUGUGCCACCCUCUGUAGAGCUAAGUGUUUGUCCCACAUUAUUGAUUUUAUCCUCAUAACAACCCUGUUAGGUAGGUACAAGUAUUUAUCUUCAUUUUACAGAUAGAGGAGGCUGAGGCCGAGAAAUACUGAGUCAUUUGCCUGAAGGGCAGAACCCAGAUUGAAACCCAGGUGAUCUGACCCUAGAGCUUUGUUUUGACCACAGCUGCAGAAGCUGCAAAAUAAUAACCUAUGGGCUGAGUAUGGUCCAUAGAUAUGUUUUCUUUUGCUCAUGUAACACUGAUAACUUCUGAGCCCACUGUCUACAGUUGGGCAGCUUGUGUCUGGCACAAAGGCUCAGCUAAGGGAGAGAGUAAGGGCUGAAAUCCAGCCCACACUCAACUGGCACAGCUACAGGGCUGCCAUGAAGGAAGGGCUGCGGUUUCCUGAUUUGGACAAAGGGUUCAAAUGAGCUACUGUCAUCCCUGGUUGUCAACACUAACAAACUGAGUUAUUCACGCAAAAUUCCAAACCUCUGGUUUUUACAGGAGCAGAGGGGAGGGGAAGGGAGGAUGGAGAUUAGAACCAGCAUUCCUCUGUGGCAAUAAUUUCUGUAGAAGGGACAUGUGCUUGCCUGUGUGCAACUGGCGUGUUUCACACAUUUAUGUGAUCUUCCAAGACACCACAGGCUUUCCAAGUUUGUGACCUCUAUAUGUACUAUGUUACACUUGUGGCAUUUCAUUUUAAAAUCUUCUCCUUUCCCCUUCGCAAAAAAAGGUUCAGUCAUGGUGCUUCAGCUAAGCACCAUAAUUGAACUAAGUUUCAACCCCUAUUGUAGAGCAACAGAAAACACGUCCAGCCCUCCUGAGCUUGAUUCCUUAAGUGACCAAACAAGGGGGAUUCAGUUUUCUUUUGCAGGCUGGAAUGCUUGUUUUCUACAUUUGCGGCUCUAUGCCUGGAAGGAAACAACAACAACUUUGCCAUGGAUAGCCAGGUAUGUACAAAGACAGAGGGAGGCAUCUGACAGCUGUUCCCCUUCUAGCAUUUCCUUACCAAUAUGAAAACUGUACACAUGAGUGUUCACAUUUUGGAGACAUCACUGUUCCCUUCUUAUAUCACAACAGGCACCACCCAGGCCUGGAGCUUGUGGAUGAUCAACGAAGAGCCACAUGGAACGGUGACUGGAAGAUAAAAGCUAGUGCUGACUGAACAGCAGUCAAUUUGUGGUUCAACUUGUCAAUUCCCUACCCAGCUAGAGCUCCAGUACAUGCUACAUUUUUCUCUGCCAAGCUGAUGCAAUCCAGUAGUCCCGAGUGCCCUCUUCAUGCCCUUACCAAAGGGAUUGCUGCCGUGAUCUACAGAGACACCUGCUGCCUAGACAUAGCUAGGAGACUUAGAGCAUCAACACUCUUCCCCACGUUUGGCUAAGUAUUUGUAGCAGUUGCCACUCUUCACUGGCACAUGCUUUGGUUUGCUAUGGAAGCCAGAAGGAAGUCAUUCCAUCUGUUACCUCUCUGUCUCAUACCCAGGAGAUGAGAGAAGAACAAUAAUCUUUAUUCUAUCAAGUUCAUCUUAAAUGAAGGCAAGAGAGGUCUAUAAGAGUGUAGACCAGAGAUUGUCAAUCUUCUCAGGUACCAGAACGACCUCUUGAAACAGAGACGGUUCCCUUGCAGAGAUAAUCCUAUGAUGCAGACUAAUGAGAUAUAAGCUGAAGUCAUCAAGUAGGACAUCUAGGAAAGAGAAUAAACUUGAUUGGCUUGUCCAUUUACCUUUUGCCUGUUACUCUGCAUCUUCUUUUUAACUAGAAACAUGAUGGAUCUCCUUCAACCAUUUUGUGAGCAUGAGGAAAAAGCUAGAAGAAACUCAUGACAUUUGCUUAUGAGACUAUAAUGCUUAUAGCAUAAGGACUUUGCAAUUUACUUAAUUUCUCUGAGUCUCAGUUUUCCAAAGCAUAUUACCUCCCUUGUAGGGUUUUAUGGAGAUUUAAAUGCGAUAAUGUGGGUAGAAUUGCCUCAUAAUUACUAAUAUAAAGUAGUCAAUCCAGUCAACAAAUAAAUCAUCCCUUUCUCCCUUUUACUCUUCCAAUCAGAUCUCCAGACUCAAGGGGGAAUUAAGCCAGACUUAUUUGCUACUAGCUAGCACUUUCAAAGCAAGCUUCUGUCUAAAGUGCUUUUUGACUUGGCGUCAACUGGCACAGACCUGAACUGAGUAAACAAGGCUCUAGGCAUAUGAAAGAGAUUCCCUUUAAGCUGAGCAGCAGGAACCCAAGGUAAGUAGCACGCUGGACCAUGCCAGGCUGAGGCACAGAGAAGGUGUGGCCUUCAGUAGAGAGAAUCUAAGAAUAUCUGAGCUAAAGUAACUAUCAGGAGGUAUCCAAAUGCUCUUUUAGCUCAAAAUAUUCACCUACUUCCAACCUCCCCCUUGGGAAAAUUAUGGCAAAAUGGAAAAGUGAAGAGGAAAAGCAAUCCAUUGAUUGUAUGACUUCAGGGCCUGAAGAUACUGACAGAGAGAGGCCUGCCAUUCCUUCCCCAACCUACAAGCACACACAUUAUUCUGAUACCUAUAGAAAUGCAAAUCACCUGUAAACAGGUGACUCUUUUCCAGUGUUUUCCAUUCUUUAAGAAAAUUAUAGAAUUCUGCAAUAUCUCUUUCAUAGCCAGCAAUUCUUUGGCACUGUAUCUGAUGACUUCCUCUUCUUCAAAGCAGAGAUCAGCAAACUUUUUCUGUAAAGAGUCAGAUAGUAAAUAUUCUAGGUUUUGAGGUGAAGGUACAUAAGGUCUGUGUUUUAACUACCAAACAAUGCCCUUGUAGUGAGAAAGGAGCCAUAGAUGAUAUGUAAAUGAAUGGGUAUGGCAGUGUUCCAAUUAAAUGGCAUCUCCAAAAACAGGUGGCUUGUAGUUUGGCAAUCCUUGCUUAAAAAGACAUUGAAACUAUGCAAAACUGAACAAGAAACACUUGGUAAUAGAUAAUACUCUCACUAAUAAUCAUUGCCACGAAACAACCAGAGAGCUUCAAGUCAAAACCAACAGAGAGAAAGGGAUGAAAUGGGAAAGAGAGGCAUUCGUAUAACAUUGGAAACCAUUAGAUAGUACUAUCAUGUAGCGCUUAAGAGUCAAAUGUCCCAGGAUUAAUGUAAACUGUGAUCAGCAAAGAAAGUCAAAGAAUGCAACCACAAUUCAUAAAAAGUUUAAGAUAAAUAAGUUUAAGUGAAUAGCACACUUUGUGGGCCACAGCAUGGCGGCUCCACGUGAAGGCCAAAGUAACUUAGGAAUGAAUGGGAAACACUGAUAAGAAUUUCAGUCUUUGACUCUUUAAGCAGAAAAAUAGGACACCAGGCAGAUAUGAGGUAAGGACUUGGGGCUGUAGCAGAAUAUAAGGCCCAAAUAGAUGUCCUGCAAACAUGGAAGGUCCCUCACUCCUGGCCCCAAGAGCACUGAGUAUUGGUGUAAGUGCUUUGCUUUCUCUUAUUCACAUGCAAAGUGUUCCUCUUCUGCAAAUAACUUGCAUGUGACCCAACAGAGUGUCUAGUUCCAGCCUUGUGAAAGAUUUGUUUUGAAAUUUUACCAUUCAGCCCUGGGUUUUUGCAAGACAAAGAAAUGAGGUAAAAUUCAUUAAGAUAGGAAAAAACCACACUGAUUUAAAUGGAAUGUGAAAAGUAAAUGUCCUACACUGGGAUCAUGUUUCAACUAAGGGGAUAAAUUACAGAUGAGAGUAAAUGGAUUUUCUUUCAGAAUAUACCAUACUCUGGCACGGGUACCAAUUGUCCUGAAGACAAUCUGUCCUUUAACAGCUAUAAAAAGUAUUCUGUGGGACAAGACAUACCUGACACAAACGUCACAGGCCAAACAAUGAUGCCCCAACUUUCAGAAAUCAGCCUCCCGCAACACAGUGCCUGGAUUUUCACCCAGUAUCCCAAGAGCAAGCACACCUCUCUAUGGAUCUGCGUCUUGAUAAAGAUGGACAUGCUAUAUCCAGCCUUAAACUUUCUUGUGUUUUAUCACUAACUCUGCAGCAAGAUUUUUUUAAAAAAUAAUUGCUCCAAUUUGCUAAACCAUCUUCUAAAAGAGAACAAGUCGUGGGAAAUGAUGAAGAAGCCUAGUACACUGAAUUAGUUGAUAAUACGUUUGACCUUAAUUUGCAGUGAUUGUUCACCAAUCCAGAGAAAUCAAUUGUCUCUGCUUUGAAGGCCUAAGUACUAUUCUGCUUAUGCUGUUCCUUCCAACAUAAAGUGUCUCUUCACAAACUAGAGAGGUUUCCAAUUGCAUCGCUUCAACUGGUCUUGACAGGAGAAGAGAUGAAUCACAGGAGCAGUCUGGCACCAUCUCAAUUUGUAAUACUCUUUACCAAGGGCUAAAUCACAGCCAGGCAGAUGCCAGGAGUGUUUAAUUUUCUUCUUCUCCUUCUUGUUAACAAAAGGAGAGGUGUUCAGAAAAGCUCAGUCCUACUUGACAGAAUUAGUAGACAGAGUAGCUGUCAAGGGUGGAUCUACGUAUCCAAAGAAGGCAUGCAUAGAUAAGUUUGACUUAAUCUUCAGGAAAGUUUUUCAUGAUGGCCCAAAACUAAUCUGUAGCAAGAGAUGAAAUAUUCAACAUAAUUUGUAUAAUGGAGACUUGUAGAGCUACAUGCAUCUGAGAUUCCUGAGCUCACCUCCAUUAGACCACUGCAGACUAUGGAUAUCAUGCUUCCUUUACUGUAAAUGUUUCCUCUUGAAAUUGAAAAAUGUGUAUACAAGUUUCAAACAGCUCUCUACCCAACCCAAAUGAACCUACCAUCCCAUAUGUCUGUGUUGGCCUAAUUCUGACACCAGUGCAUUUUUUUCCUGAUCACUUGAUAAUACGGUAGCCAUGAAAGGUCAAACGAAAGAAAAAAGAAUGGUGACCAGGGGUGGGGGUGAACUAAUAAAGGAUGAAUAACGUACAAUAGAAAAUGUGUAAAUAAAUAGAGUAACCACUAUUAAUAACCCACUAGGCUGGCAAGCAAAUGUAAAAUGAUUGUAAUCCUGGUGGAAAAAAAUAGCUAAUAAAUAAUUAAUGAAUCA